rnacentral:sRNA from 1 species
GCAAUCCGGAGUGCCUAACAUGGCGGCGGCCGUAAGGUGCAUGGGUAGAGGUCUGCAAAGAAAACAAAAAAAGGUGCUAAAGAAAAAACACUAGAUGAGAAAAAAGAUGAAAUAGAAAAAAUAAAAGCAUAUCCCUAUAUGGAAGGCGAACCUGAGGAUGAUGUCUAUUUAAAACGCUUAUACCCAAGACAGAUAUAUGAGGUGGAGAAAGCUGUUCACUUACUUAAGAAAUUUCAAAUUCUUGACUUUACUAGUCCAAAGCAAAGUGUUUAUCUUGAUUUGACACUGGAUAUGGCACUGGGAAAGA